AAUGAACGCUGGCGGCAGGCCUAACACAUGCAAGUCGAACGGAUCCUUCGGAAUUAGUGGCGGACGGGUGAGUAACGCGUGGGAACAUACCCAAAGGUACGGAAUAGCCUCGGGAAACUGGGAGUAAUACCGUAUGUGCUCGAAAGAGGAAAGAUUUAUCGCCUUUGGAUUGGCCCGCGUUGGAUUAGGUAGUUGGUGGGGUAAUGGCCUACCAAGCCGACGAUCCGUAGCUGGUUUGAGAGGAUGAUCAGCCACACUGGGACUGAGACACGGCCCAGACUCCUACGGGAGGCAGCAGUGGGGAAUCUUAGACAAUGGGGGAAACCCUGAUCUAGCCAUGCCGCGUGAUCGAUGAAGGCCUUAGGGUUGUAAAGAUCUUUCAGGUGGGAAGAUAAUGACUGUACCACCAGAAGAAGCCCCGGCUAACUCCGUGCCAGCAGCCGCGGUAA
rnacentral:rRNA from 1 species